rnacentral:piRNA from 1 species
UGGUAUCUUCUUCUUGGUCUCCUUUAAGC